UGGCUCAGGAUGAACGCUAGCUACAGGCUUAACACAUGCAAGUCGAGGGGCAUCAGGAAGAAAGCUUGCUUUCUUUGCUGGCGACCGGCGCACGGGUGAGUAACACGUAUCCAACCUGCCCUUUACUCGGGGAUAGCCUUUCGAAAGAAAGAUUAAUACCCGAUAGCAUAAUGAUUCCGCAUGGUUUCAUUAUUAAAGGAUUCCGGUAAAGGAUGGGGAUGCGUUCCAUUAGGUUGUUGGUGAGGUAACGGCCCACCAAGCCUUCGAUGGAUAGGGGUUCUGAGAGGAAGGUCCCCCACAUUGGAACUGAGACACGGUCCAAACUCCUACGGGAGGCAGCAGUGAGGAAUAUUGGUCAAUGGGCGCUAGCCUGAACCAGCCAAGUAGCGUGAAGGAUGAAGGCUCUAUGGGUCGUAAACUUCUUUUAUAUAAGAAUAAAGUGCAGUAUGUAUACUGUUUUGUAUGUAUUAUAUGAAUAAGGAUCGGCUAACUCCGUGCCAGCAGCCGCGGUAAUACGGAGGAUCCGAGCGUUAUCCGGAGUUAUUGGGUUUAAAGGGAGCGUAGGUGGACUGGUAAGUCAGUUGUGAAAGUUUGCGGCUCAACCGUAAAAUUGCAGUUGAUACUGUCAGUCUUGAGUACAGUAGAGGUGGGCGGAAUUCGUGGUGUAGCGGUGAAAUGCUUAGAUAUCACGAAGAACUCCGAUUGCGAAGGCAGCUCACUGGACUGCAACUGACACUGAUGCUCGAAAGUGUGGGUAUCAAACAGGAUUAGAUACCCUGGUAGUCCACACAGUAAACGAUGAAUACUCGCUGUUUGCGAUAUACAGUAAGCGGCCAAGCGAAAGCAUUAAGUAUUCCACCUGGGGAGUACGCCGGCAACGGUGAAACUCAAAGGAAUUGACGGGGGCCCGCACAAGCGGAGGAACAUGUGGUUUAAUUCGAUGAUACGCGAGGAACCUUACCCGGGCUUAAAUUGCAGUGGAAUGAUGUGGAAACAUGUCAGUGAGCAAUCACCGCUGUGAAGGUGCUGCAUGGUUGUCGUCAGCUCGUGCCGUGAGGUGUCGGCUUAAGUGCCAUAACGAGCGCAACCCUUAUCUUUAGUUACUAACAGGUUAUGCUGAGGACUCUAGAGAGACUGCCGUCGUAAGAUGUGAGGAAGGUGGGGAUGACGUCAAAUCAGCACGGCCCUUACGUCCGGGGCUACACACGUGUUACAAUGGGGGGUACAGAAGGCAGCUAGCGGGUGACCGUAUGCUAAUCCCAAAAUCCUCUCUCAGUUCGGAUCGAAGUCUGCAACCCGACUUCGUGAAGCUGGAUUCGCUAGUAAUCGCGCAUCAGCCACGGCGCGGUGAAUACGUUCCCGGGCCUUGUACACACCGCCCGUCAAGCCAUGAGAGCCGGGGGUACCUGAAGUACGUAACCGCAAGGAUCGUCCUAGGGUAAAA
rnacentral:rRNA from 1 species